UACGGAGGAUCCGAGCGUUAUCCGGAUUUACUGGGUGUAAAGGGAGCGUAGACGGCUAAUCAAGUCAGAAGUGAAAACCCAGGGCUCAACCUUGGGACUGCUUUUGAAACUGAGUAGCUAGAGUGCAGGAGAGGUAAGCGGAAUUCCUAGUGUAGCGGUGAAAUGCGUAGAUAUUAGGAGGAACACCAGUGGCGAAGGCGACUUUCUGGACAGUAACUGACGUUGAGGCACGAAAGUGUGGGGAGCAAACAGG
rnacentral:rRNA from 1 species